ACAAACUUGGUCAUUUAGAGGAAGUAAAAGUCGUAACAAGGUCUCCGUUGGUGAACCAGCGGAGGGAUCAUUACCGAGUUAUAAACUCCCAAACCCUGUGAACAUUUUCCGUUACUGCUUCGGCAGGGGCCCCAGGGCGGGGCUUCAGGCUCCUCCGGGAGCUGCCUGCCAGCGGCAGACAACUAUAAAUUCUUUUUUCUAGUGGACAUCUGAGUGAUACUAUAAAAUAAGUCAAAACUUUCAACAACGGAUCUCUUGGUUCUGGCAUCGAUGAAGAACGCAGC
rnacentral:misc_RNA from 1 species